CAGCAGCCGCGGUAACACGUAGGUGGCAAGCGUUGUCCGGAUUUAUUGGGCGUAAAGCGAGCGCAGGCGGUCAAUUAAGUCUGAUGUGAAAGCCCCCGGCUCAACCGGGGAGGGUCAUUGGAAACUGGUUGACUUGAGUGCAGAAGAGGAGAGUGGAAUUCCAUGUGUAGCGGUGAAAUGCGUAGAUAUAUGGAGGAACACCAGUGGCGAAGGCGACUCUCUGGUCUGUAACUGACGCUGAGGCUCGAAAGCGUGGGUAGCAAACAGGAUUAGAUACCCGGGUAGUCCCUGUCUCUUAUAC
rnacentral:rRNA from 1 species